rnacentral:rRNA from 1 species
UACGUAGGGUGCGAGCGUUAAUCGGAAUUACUGGGCGUAAAGCGCACGCAGGCGGUCUGAUUAGUCAGAAGUGAAAGCCCCGGGCUCAACCUGGGAACUGCAUCCGAUACUGAUCGGCUAGAGUAUGAGAGAGGGAGGUAGAAUUCCACGUGUAGCGGUGAAAUGCGUAGAUAUGUGGAGGAAUACCGGUGGCGAAGGCGGCCUCCUGGCUUAAUACUGACGCUGAGGUGCGAAAGCGUGGGGAGCAAACAGG